AAUAUUUCACAAUGGAGGAAACUCUGAUGCAGCGAGGCCGCGUGAACGAUGAAGGCCUUAGGUUCGUAACGUUCUGUCCUAGGGGACGAAAUUUACGGUACCUUAUGUGGAAGCCCCGGAUUACUACGUCUCAGCAGCCGCGGUAAUACGUAGGGGGCAAGCGUUGUACGGAUUUAGUUGGCGUAAAGGGUGCGCAGGCGGCCUUUUAAGUCAGGUGUGAAAGAUCACGGCUCAACCGUGGUAAGCACUUGAAACUGGAAGGCUUGAAUUAAGGAGAGGAAAGUGGAAUUCCUAGUGUAGCGGUGAAAUGCGUAGAUAUUAGGAGGAAUACCAGUGGCGAAGGCGACUUUCUGGACUUAUACUGACGCUGAGGCACGAAAGCGUGGGGAGCGAACA
rnacentral:rRNA from 1 species